rnacentral:lncRNA from 1 species
GGCAAGAGUAGAAAUGGCGUCAAUCAUGGGAAGGGCAAGGGAGGUACUAUUAGCUUCCCGCGGAGGAGUUUGUGUGGUCGGCAACCAGUAGUUGAGUCGCCGUGCACCGGCGAGCAGCAGGGUGUCGACGGUAACACCAUCAUCAGUGAAAAUGGUUAUUUCUAUAGUUUUUACAACUCAAUGUUCUCCUUGCUUGUGAUCUACAGUGUACUUGCUGCUUACUUAUGCAUGUAGUUUAUGUUGUCAUUUGAGAAUGAGUAAUGAUGAGUUAAUUUCAUCUUUGGGAAGGUGUCAUGUUGAUAUUUUAUGCCCAUGGAGCUCCAUGGGUAUAUGGAUAUCCAAUGGGUUUGGGCAUGGGCACAAAUUGUGUCCAUGAAUACUUUGGUGGAUAGGCAGAAGAUAUGAAGAUGGGUCAUGGGUUGUACUUGGACCAGCUCCACCCGCACCAAACCCGACCCAUUGCCAUCCCCAGAGAAAAUAGUUUAGGAAUGAUAGAUGUUUGGAAAUGACAAUAACAUUGUUGUAACUUAAAAGAGUGUUGCUCUGACAUUGAACCAUUCAUUUGUAGCCUAUUGUUUUAAAGUUAUUUAAUCUAUAAUAUGUAAUCGCUCUCAAGUUCAUAUGUAACAACCAAGAUAGGUUAUGGUUUUCUGGUGCAUUAUUGAAAUUUUGCUGAACUUUCUGAAUGUAUAAUGUUAAUACCACAAUUGCUUUCACAAGUAAUAUUGUCCAUGGAUAUCCUGUACUUUUCUUAGUUAUUUUAUUCCAUUUUUUCUCCUUGUGUUGAGCGGUUUUGUGAACCGUGAGAAAGUAAUAUUGUCCAUGGAUAUCCUAUACGUAAGAAUCAAAAUAUAUAUAAUUUUUCUUGCUCAUGCAUCUAUCAUAUUAUGUGUCCUAAGUCUGAAUCUCCUGAUCAGUCAAGUCAUGUUGCCUUGUGAUCUUUUUUUGAGUCAAUCAGUCUCAGGUCUCAGCUUGUGACAAUAAAAGAUAUUUCUAUAUUGAUCCACAACACUUUACAAAAAAGUAUACAUAACAUUGUGUGCUAAAAAUGCAAAGUAGUCACUUUUACUUCUUGGUUCAAAUUCCUUUUUCGCACCAUUUGACGCGAUAUGCCAUCUAUGUUUUAAGGAAAAGAUGGCACUAGAGUGAUAGCAGGUGUGAUUAGGAAUUGGGUGGAAACAAGCAUACUACUUGGAGUACCAUCUUCUUCUUGAACGAAUUUUAACUAUGCGGUUUAUUUACUUAUUAAUUUUCUUGUGGACUUUCACGUCCAGGUGCAGCUUUUAUCAAUAUAAACAUGGCUAUGUUAGAAGAUGGUGCAUGAAAUGUUCAUGAUGCUCUCAGGUUAUUUGAAUUCAAACUUUUAUUAGUAGUUACACAAGCUGACACUUACAAUGGUGUUCAGCUCCUAUGAUGGAUACUUCUACUGCAGAACUUACGACCUCGAUGCUAGAAGAUUCUUAACCGUUAAUUUGAUUUUUAGAAUUUUACAUGUUGACCUUUCAGGAUUAUUUCAGUGCCUUCUAGAGAUUAAGUUCAUGUUUAAUCCAUAGAUGGUGCAAACCUUUGAGUUGCUAGAUUGGAUGUGUUGCUUGGUUUUGGUAUAUGAGAUCUCUUAUGCUGAAAUAAUGUGGUGCUUUGCUAACUAAUGGUGUUUUUUUGCAUUUGUUAGGAAAAAACUUUUGUUACAACCGUUGGUUUAUUUUUACUGGAGAUAAAAUGUAUGUGAACUCGUGAAAAUAAUCGCACAGGAGGUGUAUUUGUUGGAAAUAUGCCCUAGAGGCAAUAAUAAAUUAGUUACUAUUGUAUUUCCUUUUUCAUGAUAAUCGUUUAUUAUCCAUGCUAUAACUGUAUUGAUUGGAAACACAAAUACACGUGUGGAUACAUAGACAACACACUGUCCCUAGUGAGCCUCUAAGGACUACCUCGUUGAUCAAAGAUGGUCAAGGUUUUCUGACCAUAGACAUGAGUUGUUAUUUGAUAAUGGGGUCACAUCAUUAGGAGAAUGAUGUGAUGGACAAGACCCAAACUAUAAACAUAGCAUGUGACCGUGUCAGUUUAUUGCUAAUGUUUUCUGCAUGUCAAGUAUCUGUUUCUAUGACCAUGAGAUCAUGCAACUCUCGGGCACCGGAGGAAUGCCUUGUGUGUAUCAAACAUCACAGCGUAACUGGGUGACUAUAAAGAUGCUCUACAGGUAUCUUCGAAGGUGUUUGUUGGGUUGCGUGAACCA